AUUGAACGCUGGCGGCAUGCCUUACACAUGCAAGUCGAACGGUAACAGGUUAAGCUGACGAGUGGCGAACGGGUGAGUAAUGUAUCGGAACGUGCCCAGUCGUGGGGGAUAACUGCUCGAAAGAGCAGCUAAUACCGCAUACGACUUGAGGGUGAAAGCGGGGGAUCGCAAGACCUCGCGCGAUUGGAGCAGCCGAUAUCAGAAUAGGUAGUUGGUGGGGUAAAGGCUAACCAAGCCAACGAUCUGUAGCUGGUCUGAGAGGACGACCAGACACACUGGGACUGAGACACGGCCCAGACUCCUACGGGAGGCAGCAGUGGGGAAUUUUGGACAAUGGGCGCAAGCCUGAUCCAGCCAUGCCGCGUGCGGGAAGAAGGCCUUCGGGUUGUAAACCGCUUUUGUCAGGGAAGAAAAGGUUCUGGCUAAUACCUGGGACUCAUGACGGUACCUGAAGAAUAAGCACCGGCUAACUACGUGCCAGCCGCCGCCGUAAUAC
rnacentral:rRNA from 1 species